rnacentral:rRNA from 1 species
UACGAAGGGGGCUAGCGUUGCUCGGAAUCACUGGGCGUAAAGCGCACGUAGGCGGGUUCUUAAGUCAGGGGUGAAAUCCUGGAGCUCAACUCCAGAACUGCCUUUGAUACUGGGAAUCUCGAGUCCGGGAGAGGUGAGUGGAACUGCGAGUGUAGAGGUGAAAUUCGUAGAUAUUCGCAAGAACACCAGUGGCGAAGACGGCUUACUGGUCCGGUUCUGACGCUGAGGCGUGAAAGCGUGGGGAGCAAACAGG